rnacentral:rRNA from 1 species
GACGAACGCUGGCGGCGUGCUUAACACAUGCAAGUCGAGCGGUAAGGCCCUUUCGGGGGUACGACGAGCGGCGAACGGGUGAGUAACACGUGGGUGACCUGCCCUCAGCUCUGGGAUAAGCCUGGGAAACCGGGUCUAAUACCGGAUAUGACUCCAUGACGCAUGUUGUGGGGUGGAAAGCCUUGUGCGGCUGAGGAUGGGCCCGCGGCCUAUCAGCUUGUUGGUGGGGUGAUGGCCUACCAAGGCGACGACGGUAGCCGGCCUGAGAGGGCGACCGGCCACACUGGGACUGAGACACGGCCCAGACUCCUACGGGAGGCAGCAGUGGGGAAUCUUGCGCAAUGGGCGAAAGCCUGACGCAGCGACGCCGCGUGAGGGAUGACGGCCU